GAUGAACGCUGACAGAAUGCUUAACACAUGCAAGUCUUUGGUGAAGCUGUGCUUGCACAGCCUAGCCAAGGCGGACGGGUGAGUAACGCGUAAGGAACUUGCCCUGCAGUCAGGGAUAACAGACGGAAACGACUGAUAAGACCUGGUAAAGUCAGUCGGACUCAUGUCCAGCCUGAUGAAAAGAGAUGCUGCAGGAGAGCCUUGCGUCCUAUUAGCUUGUUGGUGGGGUAACGGCCCACCAAGGCAAUGAUAGGUAGCCGGCCUGAGAGGGUGGACGGCCACAAGGGGACUGAGAUACGGCCCUUACUCCUACGGGAGGCAGCAGUGGGGAAUAUUGGACAAUGGGGGCAACCCUGAUCCAGCAAUUCUGUGUGCACGAUGAAGGUUUUCGGAUUGUAAAGUGCUUUCAGCAGGGAAGAAAAAAAUGACGGUACCUGCAGAAGAAGCGACGGCUAAAUACGUG
rnacentral:rRNA from 1 species